UGGGGAAUUUUGGACAAUGGGCGCAAGCCUGAUCCAGCCAUGCCGCGUGUGGGAAGAAGGCCUUCGGGUUGUAAACCACUUUUGUCAGGGAAGAAACGGCUCUUACUAAUAUUAGGAGCUAAUGACGGUACCUGAAGAAUAAGCACCGGCUAACUACGUGCCAGCAGCCGCGGUAAUACGUAGGGUGCGAGCGUUAAUCGGAAUUACUGGGCGUAAAGCGUGCGCAGGCGGUUAUGCAAGACAGAGGUGAAAUCCCCGGGCUCAACCUGGGAACUGCCUUUGUGACUGCACAGCUAGAGUACGGUAGAGGGGGAUGGAAUUCCGCGUGUAGCAGUGAAAUGCGUAGAUAUGCGGAGGAACACCGAUGGCGAAGGCGAUCCCCUGGGCCUGUACUGACGCUCAUGCACGAAAGCGUGGGGAGCAAACA
rnacentral:rRNA from 1 species